AAAGGGGACACUAGUCCCCAGAACCACUUCAGCUUAAUGAAGUGGUUCCGGUGUCUAUAGCCUGUCCCUGCAGGCUUUUUAAUGUAAACACACACUGUAUGCAGCACUGGCGUUAGUUGAUAUGGCAGAUCAUAUGGGUGGGGCAUUGUAAUGUCACAUGGGGGGGGGCGACAAAUUUCUCUUUUGCCUAGGGUGGCAAAAAUCCUUGCACCAGCCCCGAGUACUACUACUUGGUUUCUUGUAUAUAACUCCGUCUUUAGCUACACUUCAUACUAAACUUGCAUGCUCUCUGCCACCAGUCCGCAGCUUUUCAAUCUUGAUAUCUGUCACGUAAAAUCCUACAACUACACACUGUCUUAUAUCUGAUAUUUGCUCUUUGGAAGAGACUACGCCACACUCCUGGCCCAUGCACAUGAACUUGGGAAACGCAUCCUGUGAUUACCUGCAUUGAUAAACUUAUGGAUAUAUUCAAAUCUCUCUCAGGUCAGAGAAAGCGAAUACAAACUCAUUAGUAUGUGUUACCACAUGCAGCUUGUUAACACUUGUCACAUUUCCCUACAAAGCUGUAAAGAGUGGCAGGAGGUUGAGACUUACCUUUACCCUGAUUCAGUGCUUUUGCAAAACUUAAAAAAAUCAUGUAAGCUA